UACGAAGGGGGCUAGCGUUGCUCGGAUUGACUGGGCGUAAAGGGCGCGUAGGCGGUUCGUACAGUCAGACGUGAAAUUCCUGGGCUCAACCUGGGGGCUGCGUUUGAUACGUGCGGACUUGAGUGCGGAAGAGGGUCGUGGAAUUCCCAGUGUAGAGGUGAAAUUCGUAGAUAUUGGGAAGAACACCGGUGGCGAAGGCGGCCUUCUGGACAGUGACUGACGCUGAGACGCGAAAGCGUGGGGAGCAAACAGG
rnacentral:rRNA from 1 species